rnacentral:lncRNA from 1 species
GUGAGACUGCCUAGUUAAAAGACACUGACCCCAAGUAUUAAGAGGUGGACUGCUAAGGAAGUGGCUAGUUGACACUGGCCCCAGUAUUAAGAGGUGGACUGCUAGGUAAGUGCUAGUUACACUGGCCCCAG